rnacentral:rRNA from 1 species
GACGAACGCUGGCGGCGUGCUUAACACAUGCAAGUCGAACGGAAAGGCCCUGCUUUUGUGGGGUGCUCGAGUGGCGAACGGGUGAGUAACACGUGAGUAACCUGCCCUUGACUUUGGGAUAACUUCAGGAAACUGGGGCUAAUACCGGAUAGGAGCUCCUGCUGCAUGGUGGGGGUUGGAAAGUUUCGGCGGUUGGGGAUGGACUCGCGGCUUAUCAGCUUGUUGGUGGGGUAGUGGCUUACCAAGGCUUUGACGGGUAGCCGGCCUGAGAGGGUGACCGGCCACAUGGGUACUGAGAUACGGCCCAGACUCCUACGGGAGGCAGCAGUGGGGAAUAUUGCACAAUGGGCGGAAGCCUGAUGCAGCAACGCCGCGUGCGGGAUGACGGCCUUCGGGUUGUAAACCGCUUUCGCCUGUGACGAAGCAUGAGUGACGGUAAUGGGUAAAGAAGCACCGGCUAACUACGUG